GGAAGAGUAUCGAAGUGGUCAUAACGAGCCUGACUCGAAAUCAGGUGUACGGCAACGUACCGUGGGUUCGAAUCCCACCUCUUCCG
rnacentral:tRNA from 1 species